rnacentral:rRNA from 1 species
UGAACGCUGGCGGCGUGCUUAACACAUGCAAGUCGCACGAGAACGCUUCAGCUUGCUGAAGUUAGUAAAGUGGCGCACGGGUGAGUAACGCGUGGGUAAUCUACCCCCGAAUUGGGGAUAACAUCGCGAAAGCGAUGCUAAUACCGAAUGACAUCUUGGAAACUCUGUUUUCUGGAUCAAGGGUGGCCUCUACAUGUAAGCUAUUGUUUGGGGAUGAGCCCGCGUACCAUUAGCUUGUUGGUAGGGUAAUGGCCUACCAAGGCAACGAUGGUUAGCUGGUCUGAGAGGAUGAUCAGCCAAACUGGAACUGACACACGGUCCAGACUCCUACGGGAGGCAGCAGUGAGGAAUUUUGCGCAAUGGGGGAAACCCUGACGCAGCAACGCCGCGUGAGUGAUGAAGGCUUUCGGGUCGUAAAGCUCUGUCAAGUGGGAAGAAACCAUAUGGUGUUAAUAUCGCCAUAUGCUGACGGUACCAUUGAAGGAAGCACCGGCUAACUCC